GACGUAGGGCGCGAGCGUUGUCCGGAUUUAUUGGGCGUAAAGAGCUCGUAGGCGGCUUGUCGCGUCGUCCGUGAAAACCCACAGCUCAACUGUGGGCUUGCGGUCGAUACGGGCAGGCUAGAGUUCGGUAGGGGAGACUGGAAUUCCUGGUGUAGCGGUGAAAUGCGCAGAUAUCAGGAGGAACACCGGUGGCGAAGGCGGGUCUCUGGGCCGAUAUCGACGCUGAGGAGCGAAAGCGUGGGGAGCGAACAGG
rnacentral:rRNA from 1 species